rnacentral:rRNA from 1 species
GACGAACGCUGGCGGCGUGCUUAACACAUGCAAGUCGAACGGUGAAGCGCCUUCCUUUUUGGUGGGUGUGGAUGAGUGGCGAACGGGUGAGUAACACGUGAGUAACCUGCCCCCUUCUUCUGGAUAACCGCAUGAAAGUGUGGCUAAUACGGGAUAUUCUGGGUCUGUCGCAUGAUGGGUCUGGGAAAGAUAUUGUUUCGGUGGGGGAUGGGCUCGCGGCCUAUCAGCUGGUUGGUGGGGUGAUGGCCUACCAAGGCGGUGACGGGUAGCCGGCCUGAGAGGGUGGCCGGUCACACUGGGACUGAGACGCGGCCCAGACUCCUACGGGAGGCAGCAGUGGGGAAUAUUGCACAAUGGGCGCAAGCCUGAUGCAGCGACGCCGCGUGAGGGAUGGAGGCCUUCGGGUUGUGAACCUCUUUCGCCAGUGAAGCAGGCCUGCCUCGUUUGUGGGUGGGUUGACGGUAGCUGGAUAAGAAGCGCCGGCUAACUACGUG